CUGAGACACUGCCCGGACUCCUACGGGAGGCUGCAGCGACGAAUCUUCCGCAAUGGGCGAAAGCCUGACGGAGCAAUGCCGCGUGUGGGAUGAAGCGUCUUCGACGUGUAAACCACUGUCAGAUCCUAGAACCACCGAUCAGGAUCAAAGGAAGGGCCGGCUAACCUCGUGCCAGCAGCCGCGGUAAUACGAGGGGCCCAAGCGUUAAUCGGAAUCACUGGGCUUAAAGCGUGCGCAGGCGGCCCAGCAAGCAUCUUGUGAAAUCCCACGGCUCAACCGUGGAACUGCA
rnacentral:rRNA from 1 species